GACACUUGAUUAUAAUAACUGAUAGAUCUAUUCUACUGAAAUUAUUUUUUUACUGUCUAGUCUGUUGACUAAUAAGCUAUGGCAGGAAAAAGACUAUGAACCAGUGAAAAGAAAGGGACACUCCACUGUCCAGGUAGGAGACUACCUGUAUAUGUGUACAUGUAAUCAUGUGAUUAUCAUUCUACAACUCCUCCAUGUUCUCUUAAUGAAUGGGUAUACAAGAGGAACUAAGAGACAAACCUCAUGGUCUGUGGGGUAAGGCAUUGGCAAACAAAUACAAUAAUUAAGGUUUCUAAAGAGGAUCCUUCAAAUAUUCUUGACAGGAUAAAGAAGUUGUCUUUUGCAAAAGUUAACAGUGUAUUAGAAGAAAAUCCAAUUAUUUUAAAGUUGAACAAUAAAGGUAUGAGAAGGUUGAAGGACAAAUUUUGCUCUAUUAAUUAACAUUGUUUCUUAUUCCUUCCUCAUACUUCUUGUAUUUCCCAAUCCUCCUCCUUUACUAUGUCUCCCUCUUCCUUUCCUUCUCUCUUGCUUUUCUAUUUUACUGCCCCUCCUCAAGUCCUCCUCCUCCAUUUCUUAAGAUUGGCUCCUCUCCUAGCUCUUUCUCUCUCUCUUUGUUAGCUCCUCGCUCUUCCUUUCUCCCAGUAAAAUUAUCAGCUCCAUCAGUUAUAUAAAUGCAUGCAUAUUUGUAGCAUCAAUAAGAGUAUUACAAUGCAUAAGUUUUCUAUAUUUUCCCUCCGCAAAGAAGAGGAACAGUGAACUUAAAUCCUGAAGUGCAUGACUUAAAAAUUCAUGAUUCAUUGUGUUCAGCUUGAUAUAUAAUUUUAAAAAGUAUUUAUGGCUAUAUUUUAUCUGUCCAUGUGUUGUCAUGUGACAUUACCGAGCUAAGUGCUUCUCUGGCUUAAAGGAUUAUCCUGCUGCUAGAAGAAAGUUGAAAGAAAUGUGGGUUUUUAGCCUAUUUCCAAAGUCUCAGAAUAUGCUACAUAACAGUCCACUUUAGAGGUACCAAGCUUGUUCAUUGAAGGAGAGCUCAUCUAAGCCAUUAAUUUACAAAAUGGUCACAAUCUUGAACAAUUCACUAUACACACUAAUACAUAAAUAAUCACAGUAAUCAAAACUAAGAAUUCCUUGACUUUAAUCUC